UAGGGAAUCUUCCGCAAUGGACGCAAGUCUGACGGAGCAACGCCGCGUGAGUGAAGAAGGAUUUCGGUUCGUAAAACUCUGUUGUUAGAGAAGAACAGCGCAUAGAGUAACUGUUAUGCGUGUGACGGUAUCUAACCAGAAAGCCACGGCUAACUACGUGCCAGCAGCCGCGGUAAUACGUAGGUGGCAAGAGUUGUCCGGAUUUAUUGGGCGUAAAGCGAGCGCAGGCGGUCAAUUAAGUCUGAUGUGAAAGCCCCCGGCUCAACCGGGGAGGGUCAUUGGAAACUGGUUGACUUGAGUGCAGAAGAGGAGAGUGGAAUUCCAUGUGUAGCGGUGAAAUGCGUAGAUAUAUGGAGGAACACCAGUGGCGAAGGCGACUCUCUGGUCUGUAACUGACGCUGAGGCUCGAAAGCGUGGGUAGCAAACAGG
rnacentral:rRNA from 1 species